AUCAGUGGAAGAACACCUAUUACCAUAUGUAUUCAGUAGAGUAGGACGACGAGAAAAGUAAUCUCUAUUAUUCUCACUCGUCAUCUGCUGAAACAACAACCCCUUACUUCCGCCAAGAUUGGUAGACGAAGCACUAGACGCAAGACUGAAAGACGUUGGUGAUGUUGCCAAUGGAGGAGAAGCAAUGGGAAUUCCAUUCAAACUAGAGGGAAAUCCAGAAGAGCUAUUAUUAAACUCAUCCACAGAGCGACUGUUUACUCCAGAAGACAAAAAGUUUGGCGUUG